GACGAACGCUGGCGGCGUGCCUAACACAUGCAAGUCGAGCGGAAGUAUUUGAGGAGCUUGCUUUUUGGAUACUUUAGCGGCGGACGGGCGAGUAACGCGUGAGUAACCUGGCCUGUACAGGGGGAUAACAGUUAGAAAUGACUGCUAAUACCGCAUAAGACCACAGUACCGCAUGGUACAGGGGUCAAAGAAUUAUCGGUACAGGAUGGACUCGCGUCCCAUUAGCUAGUUGGCGGGAUAACAGCCCACCAAGGCGACGAUGGGUAGCCGACCUGAGAGGGUGAUCGGCCACACUGGGACUGAGACACGGCCCAGACUCCUACGGGAGGCAGCAGUGGGGAAUAUUGCACAAUGGGGGGAAACCCUGAUGCAGCGACGCCGCGUGGAGGAAGAAGGUCUUCGGAUUGUAAACUCCUGUUGUUGAGGAAGAUAAUGACGGUACUCAACAAGAAAGUGACGGCUAACUACGUG
rnacentral:rRNA from 1 species